GGCACAGGGCUGGAGGGACACAGGGGUGGCCAAACGGACAAAACCAGUGGCCAAAGGGACAAAAUCAGUGGCCAAAGGGACAAAAUCAGUGGCCAAAGGGAUGAUGGUAGGUGGUCAGAGGGGAAUUGUGAUUGGGAACUGGAAUGUUCCCAGUGCUCCCAGUUCAGAACUUGUGGAAGACAUUGAAGGUUGGACACAGGUGAAGGUGUGGUGGUAGAACCAGGUGGCACAGGGACAGGUGUGGGGGUGGAACAGGUGGCAGAGGGACAGAACAGUGCCCAAAGUGCUGCUGGCAGGAGCCUGGGAGGACACAGGGGCGCUCCCAGCGCUCCCAGUUUAGGGCAUGUGGGAGUCUCUGAGGGGCAGAGUGGGGAUGAACACAAGCACAGGUGUGCUGGACACAGGUACAGGUGUGGUAGACGCAGCUACAGGCAUGGUGGACAUGGGUACAGGCAUGGUGGACACAGGCACAGGUGUGGUGAUGGAACCAGGUGGCACAGGGACAGCUGUGGUGGUGGAACAGGUGACACAGGGACAGGUGCAGUGACAGAACCAGGUGACACAGGUGCAGGUGUGGUGGUGGAACCACCUGACACAGGGACAGAUGUGGUGAUGGAAUAGGUGACACAGGUACAGAUGCAGUGACAGAACCAGGUGGCACAGGUACAGAUGCAGUGACAGAACCAGGUGGCACAGGGACAGGUGCGGUGACAGAACCAGGUGGCACAGGGACAGGUGUGGUGACAGAACCAGGCUGCAGAGAGACAGAGCAGUGCCCAAAGUGCUGUGGCAGGAGCCGGGACG
rnacentral:lncRNA from 1 species